rnacentral:rRNA from 1 species
UGGGGAAUAUUGGACAAUGGGCGAAAGCCUGAUCCAGCCAUGCCGCGUGUGUGAAGAAGGUCUUCGGAUUGUAAAGCACUUUAAGUUGGGAGGAAGGGCAUUAACCUAAUACGUUAGUGGUUUGACGUUACCGACAGAAUAAGCACCGGCUAACUCUGUGCCAGCAGCCGCGGUAAUACAGAGGGUGCAAGCGUUAAUCGGAAUUACUGGGCGUAAAGCGCGCGUAGGUGGUUUGUUAAGUUGGAUGUGAAAGCCCCGGGCUCAACCUGGGAACUGCAUCCAAAACUGGCAAGCUAGAGUACGGUAGAGGGUGGUGGAAUUUCCUGUGUAGCGGUGAAAUGCGUAGAUAUAGGAAGGAACACCAGUGGCGAAGGCGACCACCUGGACUGAUACUGACACUGAGGUGCGAAAGCGUGGGGAGCAAACA